rfam:Candidatus Aenigmarchaeota archaeon CG1_02_38_14 cg1_0.2_scaffold_7317_c, whole genome shotgun sequence.
UUGUCGGUUAAAGUCCGACCAUGGGAAUUCGGUAGUUCACCCAUGUAGCUUGAGGGAGGUGUAAAGGGUGACCUGAAGCACUAAGUUUCCUGACAAAGGCUCCUUAGGGGAGUUGAGCGAACCUGCGGGUUGCAGCGCAA